GAACAGGCAAACGAGAAAUCUACCAUUCCAUCAAUCGAGGAAGCAGCUUUAUUUCAUCGGGCACAAUAAUAAUGGCUGCCACCCAACAAAUCCGUUUUCUUCCCCGUGAACCAGUCGACAUUGGAGGCUCACCGAUGUCUCGGUCGUCGGCCUGAAGCCGCCGUUACCUUCCGUUGCUUCCCUCUUGGCGUGGCUGCUUACCCACAAUGCACUGCCAGAGGGCCUUGUGUGUGUCUGACAGACCGAUGUAACUGUUGUCUCCACGUCACCAGUCGGUCCGCAUCACAAAAGCACAGCCGGAAGGUCCUGGUCGAUCUUGUUUGUGGUCUCACUGACAUCAUGUCUAGCACAGGUGAUCUACCAGCCAUAGAGGAUUCUGGGAUGGGCGGGAUGAGGCUCCCCAUCGGGAUGACCCGACGGGCCCUCAGCUACGACGACAACCUGGAGGCCCCCAUGUCCACGCCCCCCCACGACAUCAGCAUCAACAACCUGUGGAGACGACCCGUCAUACCGGAGAGGAAGUUCACUCGUCUGGCUGAGGUGAGAACUAACAAACACAGCUGCUGCCGAGGAAGACGCUGAGCGCAGAUGAUGAGGAAGACGCUGAGCGCAGAUGAUGAGGAAGACGCUGAGCGUAGAUGAUGAGGAAGACGCUGAGCGUAGAUGAUGAGGAAGACGCUCAGCGUAGAUGACGACGAGGAAGACGCUGAGCGUAGAUGACGACGAGGAAGACGCUGAGCGUAGAUGAUGACGAGGAAGACGCUGAGGGUAGAUGAUGACGAGGAAGACGCUGAGCGUAGAUGAUGAC